rnacentral:rRNA from 1 species
UUUGUUCUGGGCUCAGGAUGAAUGCUGGCGGCGUGCCUAAUACAUGCAAGUCGAGCGAACAGAUAAGGAGCUUGCUCCUUUGACGUUAGCGGCGGACGGGUGAGUAACACGUGGAUAACCUACCUAUAAGACUGGGAUAACUUCGGGAAACCGGAGCUAAUACCGGAUAACAUAUUGAACCGCAUGGUUCAAUAGUGAAAGGCGGCUUUGCUGUCACUUAUAGAUGGAUCCGCGCCGUAUUAGCUAGUUGGUAAGGUAACGGCUUACCAAGGCAACGAUACGUAGCCGACCUGAGAGGGUGAUCGGCCACACUGGAACUGAGACACGGUCCAGACUCCUACGGGAGGCAGCAGUAGGGAAUCUUCCGCAAUGGGCGAAAGCCUGACGGAGCAACGCCGCGUGAGUGAUGAAGGUCUUCGGAUCGUAAAACUCUGUUAUCAGGGAAGAACAAAUGUGUAAGUAACUGUGCACAUCUUGACGGUACCUGAUCAGAAAGCCACGGCUAACUACGUGCCAGCAGCCGCGGUAAUACGUAGGUGGCAAGCGUUAUCCGGAAUUAUUGGGCGUAAAGCGCGCGUAGGCGGUUUUUUAAGUCUGAUGUGAAAGCCCACGGCUCAACCGUGGAGGGUCAUUGGAAACUGGAAAACUUGAGUGCAGAAGAGGAAAGUGGAAUUCCAUGUGUAGCGGUGAAAUGCGCAGAGAUAUGGAGGAACACCAGUGGCGAAGGCGACUUUCUGGUCUGUAACUGACGCUGAUGUGCGAAAGCGUGGGGAUCAAACAGGAUUAGAUACCCUGGUAGUCCACGCCGUAAACGAUGAGUGCUAAGUGUUAGGGGGUUUCCGCCCCUUAGUGCUGCAGCUAACGCAUUAAGCACUCCGCCUGGGAUAUCGCCCCCCC